CGAGAGAGAGCGAGAGAGAGAGAGGGAGAGAGUGAGUGAGUGAGAGAGAGAGAGUGCAGCCCGCCGGCCCCAUUGAGGAAAGAUGGCUACAGUCACUGCGAACGGAGUGCAGCAAGAGAAUGGAUUCAGCACCACGAACAGCGCCGGCAGGAUGAACGGGCUCACCAUCGGCCAAAGCACCAUUCCAAUGAAGGACCACGACGCCAUCAAGCUUUUCAUCGGGCAGAUUCCCAGAAACCUGGAGGAAAAGGACCUGAAACCGCUGUUUGAGGAAUUCGGAAAGAUAUACGAACUCACUGUACUGAAGGACAGGUUCACGGGAAUGCAUAAAGGAUGUGCCUUUCUAACAUACUGUGCCAGAGAGUCAGCACUGAAGGCCCAGAGCGCCCUCCACGAACAGAAGACUCUGCCAGGGAUGAACCGGCCCAUCCAGGUGAAGCCGGCUGACAGCGAAGGACGAGGAGAAGACAGGAAGCUGUUUGUGGGAAUGCUCGGCAAGCAGCAGAGCGAGGACGACGUCCGGCGGCUGUUCGAGACCUUCGGUCAGAUCGAGGAGUGCACCGUCCUGCGAGGGCCUGAUGGGGCCAGUAAGGGCUGUGCCUUUGUCAAGUUCUCCAGCCACGCAGAAGCACAGGCUGCCAUCAACACCUUGCAUGGUGGACAGACUAUGCCUGGUGCCUCAUCCAGUCUGGUGGUCAAGUUUGCAGACACGGAUAAGGAGAGGACCCUGCGUAGGAUGCACCAAAUGGCGGGCCAGCUCGGCAUCUUCAGUCCCAUGACCAUCCAGUUUGGGGCGUAUGGCGCCUACUCUCAUGCUGUAAGUCUCAGCCCGGCGGGGGAGGAGACGCAGAUGAUGCAACAGCAAGCAGCCCUGAUGGCAGCGACACAAGGGUCCUACCUGAACCCCAUGGCAGCCAUUGCUGCCGCGCAAAUGCAGCAAAUGGCAGCUUUCAAUGUCAACGGCCUGGUGGCUACUCCCAUGACACCGUCCUCAGGCACCAGCACACCCCCAGGCAUCUCUGCUACAGCUGUGCCCAGCAUAGCCACCCCAAUCGGGGUCAAUGGAUUCAGUGCACUUCCACCUCAAAGCAACGGGCAGCCCACCUCAGAGCCCAUCUACACCAAUGGUAUUCAUCCAUACCCAGCACAGAGUCCAACAGUGACUGACCCUCUCCAACAGGCUUAUGCUGGUGUCCAGCACUAUGCAGCAGCCUACCCCGCCGCCUAUGCGCCAAUCAGCCAAGCGUUCCCCCAGCAACCAACCAUCAUUCCCCAGCAACAGAGGGAAGGGCCAGAAGGUUGCAACCUGUUUAUUUAUCACCUGCCCCAGGAGUUCGGAGAUGCGGAGCUCAUGCAAAUGUUCCUGCCCUUCGGCAACGUCAUCUCGGCCAAAGUCUUCGUGGACCGAGCCACCAAUCAGAGCAAAUGUUUUGGCUUUGUGAGUUUUGAUAAUCCAUCCAGUGCUCAAGCCGCUAUCCAGGCCAUGAAUGGGUUUCAGAUAGGCAUGAAGAGGCUGAAGGUGCAGCUAAAGCGGCCAAAGGACGCCAACCGACCUUAUUGACUCGUCUACUGUCAGUAUCCAGUGUGAGGUGGUCUUUCUCCGCUAUAGCCACACCCUGUACACCUGUCAUGGGGCCGAGUUCUUACAGCUGAUGAAGGGCCACAUCACCUUAUUUCCACAAGUGCAGUAAAAGUACAAAGACUUCUUGCUCUGCUACAUAUCAUGAAGGAAGGGUGGUCCCUUGAUCAUGCUGGAAACCCGUUGAAAGAUUGGGUGACUAAGAGAAGAAUCCCAGAGUUGAUUUUUUUUCCUCUUUUUUUUUGAAUGUUUCAUUUUUUUUUCUUUGCAAAUGCCUCCUUUUUUUCCCUGUUUUGCUUUGGCGUCUGGGGAAGAAGAUUUUUUGCAGAGACCAACUUUUUGCUGCUGUUUUUUAGACAUGAUGGGGGAAAAAAAAACAACCUUUAUAGACUCAUUAUGCUCAAAGCAUGCAUACUGACACAGGAUAUAGAUAAACACACAUUAAUGCAGAUAACAAACCAAACAUACACACUUAAAUAUGCUACACCCAAAAGAAAAAGGAAAAAAAAAAAAACUACUACUACUUUGUACAUGUAUAAAUACGUGCAAAUGCCAACUCAAGUACUGAAGCAAACACAUGCGUGUACGCAAACACAGACACACUCACACUUACACACAAACACCCACACCAGCCUGCUGCCAUUUUGGUUUUUGUGCCUACACAGGUGUUGUGCUCUGUGACAGGGCAAGCUCUGGAUCGAAGAAGAAGAAAAAGAAGAAGAAGAAGAAGACAAGAGGAAGAGGAGAGAAGAGGAGAAUCCAGGAUAAUUUACAUGCAUCAUUCCUUAGGAAAUAGGGACCAAAGGACUAAACGCUUUUUAAAAGAAUAUAAAUAUAUAAAUAUAUAAAUAUAUAUUUAAAAACUCAUACCUUGUAGCUGCAAGUAUUACAAUUUACUCGUAGUAAAAAAAAACAAAAAAAAAAAUCAUUAAAUCAAUAUCCAGUGGCCUACUGUAAGUACGAAUAAAAGAAAAUGGAAAUAAUGUACAAAAAAGACAUGGAAUCGUAGUAUAGGGGCUGAUCUUUUGCUCUGGAUGCUGAUUUAGCGCCAGGUUGUAGAAUAGUAAAAUAGACUAGAGGAAAAAAAAAAAAUGUAAAUUUGCUAACUUUUGCUGUUGUUUGAAAAAAAAAAAAAGUAAUACUUGAAGAUGUAAUGAAAAGGAUGUGGGGCAGGGGUGAGGGAGGGGGUGGGAAGGGUAAAAAGGAAACAUUUAUGUGCCCCGGUAAGCAACAAGUCUCUUUUUGUUGGAUGUAAAGGUAUCAGCCACUGGAUAUCUCGCCCACCAUGAUGUACAAGUCACUGCACUCUCUGACAGACUGUUCUGGGUGAAAAAAAAAAAAAAAAACAGAACGACAGGAGGAAAAAAAAAAAAGAUCUUACUGAUGUCUGUGCCGGACAGGGUGCAGACGUUUGAGGCUUCUCACUCGCCUUUGUAUUCAAGCGACAAUCCACUGUAAAGACCAAGCAAAAUGGACAUGGGGUGUCUUUUGUUGUUUCAGUUUUGUUUUUCUUUUUUUCUUGAACUUUGUAUUGCAACAUGAAGGGUGAUUUAUAAAGCCACCAAUUGUGAAAAGGAGACAGUUCUAUAAAGAAAGACGGACAAAGGGAUAGUGACAAAAAGAGAGAGGAGGAUGAGGAGUAAGGUGACAGCUAUUGAAACUGCCAGCAGAAUGAACUCAGUACACAAAUGAAUUUGCCCUUAUGGCAUUGAAGUCCCCCUUAAAAACAGAGUGCACACAUGCUGUAAGCAACCACGACUUAUACAAGAGACAUGUCAAGGACGUGUGUGUCCAAAUCUCCAGACUAAGAAAAGCAGAACCUCACUUUUUAACAGAUUCAAACAUUUCUCCAACGACAAACUCAAGUCUAAAUUAUUGAUGGCAAAAAAAGCGCAGGUUCAUUUAACGGUAUCAAAUCUAGCGUAAAAAGUACACUUUUACCACGUUCUCCGACCUACUUAACAGAUCCAUAAUUUAAAAAAAAACAUAGAUGCAGCUAAAAGCAGACUACAUCUUAAUUAUAUCUAACUGUCAUUUUUAACCAUCACUCAAACACUGAUGACAGGCAGUACAGCGUGAAGCACUGCAGUGAGUCCUGCAGCCUGUGUUUUGACUGUUUUAGAGCUCAGGGUGUAGUAUCGUCCCUUAGAGCAGAUCAAUAUGUUUGAAAUUUGUCUAAAGGGAGGAGUAAUGUUGUUUUAGUCAUUCUAAACACUUGCUCGUUUUCACUGUCUGACACUUUUGAGUGUUGACCACUGGCAGUCAGUGGCAGGGGGAUGUGGGAGAGACGGAGGGAGGUGAAGAGAGGAAGCCAAAAACAAACAAACAUCAAUUUCUUAUAUUUUAAAAUAUAGUAAUAAAAAAAAAGGUAUAUAAUUAAGCUUAAAAUCUCCCAUAAAGGGAGAUAAAGGGAUCAAAUAGGCUUGGUACCUUAAGCACCAGUCCAAGCAAUUUCUGUUCAACACCAAGAAUCUGCUCCUUGAUAUUCCAACUUUUUUUCCCCCCACUUUUUAGAGAGAAAAGAUGACUAGACUUAAUCAAAAUCACUAGACUCCGACUCGUUCUCCGAGCAGACGCUCUCGAUUUAAGCCUAUGAUCUCUGUGUGCCAUGUGUCCCCACUGUUUCCCCUCUCCUAAGAGCAGGCGUGCUCCCUAUCCAGACCUCGGUCCAACAGUUAAGUGGCUCAUGCCUUAACAGAGCGUUUUCUAACCUGGCUAAUGUCUGCGCUCACUACCCUUCAAUUAUCUCCUGUGCCAUAUUAGACAUGCUUUUUCACCUUUCCCUCUAAUCACACUAUAAUCACCGCCCUCUAUACAUUAGCGGCAAAGAGUGAAAAAUCACCAGGAUAAUCACUUGGACCAAAUGAUGAGAGAAAUAGUCCCCUGCAUGCACAUGGAUGACAGAUGGAAGAUUAGGGAGAAUUAUGUUUGUGCCUACUCCUUGGCAAGGCUUCUGACAGCUGACCUGGCACCAGUAAUACUGCCAAAUUUACCCGAAGAGGCAAAAGAUGCGAGAUGAAACUUUACAUAUCAUAGCAAGGUGUAAUAUUGAGAAAAGACUGACAUUACUGAACUUUAACUUUAAAAGUGUGAGUGGAAAAAAAAAGAUGGAUGGCAACAUUUAUUUUUUAGGUUUUCUUUCACCACCAGUUGUUUAAAUUCGGGUCAACACAAUUUCACUGGAAAUCCUCAAUUUUGUAGAAGCAGCUGCUGUGAGGCCUAUGUUGUUGUGUCCCCUCUUUCAGCAUGUAAUUGUGUCUCAACAGAGGCCACCGUGUUUUACAAAACAACUCGCUGCACACAUUUUUCUUUCUCCUGCCUGUAUCCCUGCAGGGACACCUGCGCAGCGCAGUGCGUGUUCAUCGUUCACCUCAGAAAUAAUGUUUGUGAAACACAGUCGCUCUUCAAAUUCAAAAUAAUGCCAAUUUUUAAACAGCCUUACGUAAAAACCCAACCCUCUUCCCCUCAGCCCUCAAGUUCAGGAAGAUUUAUUAAUUAUUGCGAAGUAGGUCCAAACAAAACCAAUAUUCUGAUAAUUUUUCAUGUGAACCUAAACUAUUCCAUGAGUACAUUCUGCAAGUGAGCAUGAACAUGAACCUUGUAUGCCCACUCUACUGUUCUUCUCCGUCUUAUAUCAGAUGUUGUACUACUUCUCACUACUAAUGGCAGGUUGAGUCCCCAGUGAGCCGAAAUCCAGCCAAGCCUGUCCUGCUGUCUGUUUGGAUAACAGCAGUGUUCAUGUAGCAUCUCUGCUCUGCCAGAGCUUAAUCGGGCAAUGUGAAAUCAGCAUUUCAACACUUUUAACAAGGGUGUCCGUAUUACUUCUAAACCCCCCCCGAGAGGAAGCUAUUGAAGCGUUGUGUAUUAAAAAACAGAAAAGGCAGAGAACCAGGCAGCCAGGGCUUCUUAGGGCUACUUAUUCUGUUCCCAGCACAGAGCCAGCCUAGUCUGUAAUCCAGGUUAUUUUACGUAUAAGAGCAGUGACAACCGUCAGCCCAGCAGGUGCCAUCCAAGCUCCAGCAAGCAACUACUUGACAUCUGCCCCCAGUUUACAAAAGGGAAAUUGUAACGCUGCAUGUACAAGGAAAAUAUAAUCAAUCUAAUUAGCUGCAAUCAUACGACUGAAAGCAGUGAGGUGAGAUGUAUACACAAGUGCGGCAAGGUCUUAUUCAAUAAGCGUACAGAGCAGACCACGUGAUCCUCUGCCACUGAUCCACGUACCUACUCUAACCUUGUAUCAUUAAAUUAAAAAUAAUGGGUGAGACCGUGGUACAUAGUAUGCCCAUUUCCUUAAUUUGCCUCGAUACCACUGCGCACAAGGUCAGUCCUCAAGAGGAAGGGUCACCGCCAAUGGCAAAAGGGCCAAGCAUAGAACGGCGAGAGCAUGUUCGAUUGUUCAACCCUCUGGGUGUGAAACACUCACCCCGAAAAUAGCAACGAUUGUCAAGGAAAGGAAAUGAAAUGUAAUUGACUGAAAGAGAAGAGAUAAUUAAAGGGAACCUGUUGGACAGGAGGGAAGAAAUUAAUGCCUCUCCCUUUGCUGCUUUGGGAGAGAGCGCUGUUCCGUCAUCUCACUUUAGUGCAGAAAGGGUUUUGCUGUGGAAAUGGAAUUUUUGUGCGGAAAAAGGUGGAGGUGGUAAUGGGCGCUGGGUGGCCGGGGUGCUGUGUGCUAAACUGAAACUCCACAAAAUCACUCCCAAUACUCAGGGCAUCAGUAACUAUGAUGUCAUGAUUAGUGGAGAGGUUCAGAGCCUUGUGUUACCCCUAAUCCCGAAGGAGGACGAGCUGAAUCACAAAUAUGAGGCCAGAGCGGAAGGGCUUUGGAUUUACAGUAUCAUCAUUCUAUUCCAAGAGUAGGAGUAACAAUCAAACUAACAAAAAUAUCUCCGUUGUCCAUCUGAAAAUGCAUAGUUAACCCCUGGAGGUUUAACAGCAUGGCUGAGAGCAAUGAAGACAAAGAUUUUAUUUUUUCUUUUUUUUUUUCCUUGAUGUAAAUAGCCUAUAAAAUACAAAACAAAAGGAAGGUUGUAUAGCAGCUUGUGUUGAAGAGCCCAACUCUGUGGGACAAUGAUGUCACUAUAAAAUGUGUCCGCAGCAGUGCAGGGAUCUUGGAGAGUUUUAGUCCUUUUAAGCCCCUUAGGUUUGGGUUGUGAACAUGCAUCUUACAAACCUUGGCGUUGGACGGCGGCUUAUAGAGGAGAGUGUUUCAUUUAAUGUCAAACCUAAGCCACAGACCCAAAGUGAUCCGUUAAUUAAAAAUUUCUGUGUACAUGUCACGGUUUUUCCUGACAGAAGAAGGAUCGCCUGUGCAGUAAUUGGAUUAGUCCAAUUGGAGAUGAUGAACAGAUAUGACAGUAGAGUUCAUCCAUCUGCAUGCUUACUGCUCGACAGUGUGGCGAAAAAAGGGAAAAAGAAAAAAAACAGAAAAGGAGAACAUCAGCCACCACCACCAUAACAUUUUCACAGUCCUUAAAAGUGAAUGUUUGGGGUUUUGGACAUUUUAAGAUGCUGAUUUUACAAAAUGAAACUCCAGGUAACAGUUUGUUCAAUAUGUACAUAAAGCAUUUUUUUUUUUUUUUUUUUGGGGGGGGGAAUGAAUACACACUAAACUUAUACAUACUGCACAACAUGGUAAAGCAGAGAUUGACAGCAGUUACUAUAGAUCCCAGCAAAAACCCCUGCCUGCUUGACCCAAUCUGCCACUGCUCUCCGUACAACACAGCUGCGUUACUUCUGUACAUACAAUAUAGCUUAUUUUUCAAUUCUGUUGAACCUUCUUUAUAGGCCGUACAAUAGAUCAUGUUCAAACGUUUUAAAAAAAAAAAAAAUUUAAAAACAUUUUAAGAAUAGUUAAUAUAUUUCAGUGAAACUAUGAGAAGGAACCUAUGAAAUAAUUUAUCAAAAUCAGAGGAUAAAAUGAUUUUAUUUCUUGUACAGUAAAGCACUGAAAAAAUUUGAUUUUAUACUCAAGAUUGGUAAACCGUUGUUUAGUUUCUCUUUUAUUUUGUUAUUAUCCGCUGAAGCUGGGAAAGGCCCAUUGUUAUGAGGUUAUAUUUGGAUAUGCUUUGAUCAUUAUUUCGGCUGCACAAUCCAUAUAGGAAAUUCCUCGUGGGACAGCAAUUUCAGAAAGACAUUUUGCCACUGAAAGCUCUUAAAUCAAUACAAGAAUUAACAAUCUGCACUGUAAAAAAAAAAAGGGAUGAUUGAUGGUAGUGGUCAUGUGGAUUAAAAAAAAGAAAAAACAAGAGUCCAUUGCACAGUUGUGUUCAAAUGUAUUAACAUUGCAUGUUCAAAAACAAUCUCAUCUGAGGCCUUUGUUUUCAGAAAAAGACAAAAAAAUAUAUAUACCGUAUAUAAAAAAAUAAACUUUGCAGUCAGAUUGGUCCUAUGCUGUCAUAUUCAAGCAAUGGAUGGAUUUCUGUGGUGUUCCUCUCAUUAUGUGAUUGUGCUUUUCUGUUUUUUUUUCUUGUUGUUUUUUGAAGGGUUGUUGGUCACCAUUGACAUAUCUCUGGUUUUCAUUGUCUCUGUUCUUAUCAAUGGGAAGUUUCCUCCACAGUUUGUUAUCUAAUGUGACUUCAUCCACUGAAGAUUAUCGUUCCAACAGUGACAGCGCCAUAUUCUUUUGCUCCACUCAGGUUGAUUUGUUAAUCUGAGGAGGGAAUUCUGCCUUAAACCCAGCCUGUUCUCUUUAACAGUACUACCUGUGAACAGUGGUCGGACACACUGUAUUCUGGGGAUGCCAAAUGUUCUACUUUCAAACGUCAAAAAAUAUGUUGUGAAGACAAACAUUUCGCCAGAGUCCGUUUUUUGCCUCAAGCCCAUUCUGACACAAAUGAGAGUUGUGGUCAUGCAUCUCCAUUUCCAUUGGUUACAAGGACCAAAAUGUAAACAAACUCAGCUAACUGAGCAGUUUGCUCCAAUCAAGCAUUCAGUGAGAGCCUUUAAAGAAUUCACAUUUAGCCAUAUGUAAGUUUGCAUCAUUGAAUCACGACAUUCCCAGCUUCACGACCUUAAUCCAUCCUCUUUAGUUGUUGCCGUGCACAAUGCAUUCAUCAUCGUAUAUUCAGCGAUUUAUAUUCACAAGGAACUGAAGAAUAAUUUCUUUGAUAAUUUGACUUCAAAAAAAAAAAAAAAGGAAAACCUGGGUUAUUGUUUUGUUUUUUUCUUGAAACAGAUGUAAAUUGAAUAAGCGUUGGCUCGGGUCCGUUUCCCAGAUUCGGAGUGAUAUCUCCCUUAGUGCUCCUGAACUCUGUAGUUCUCUAGUUCAUUAUAUUCUGCUUAGACAAAAAUAAAGCACAGUCCUGUAGAAAAUGA